GCGCGAUUCACAGCGUAUCACAACACCGCCAGCCUUCAGGCGCACAAGACGAACACGAUAGCGUACCGCAGCUCCGGGCGUUUGACGUUUAUCUCCCGACGGCUGCAAAGCGAAGAGGGUCUCGACAUUUGAGGCGCUACACUUCCGUGUGAGUAACUUUCCGAGAGGUUCCGCAUCUGUACAGGACCGCUGACUUGUUUGUGAGCUACUGAGCAAAACUUUCUUCGUUAAAGGGAAGAAGCCCCAGAUUGUGGCUAAGCCGCUUCUUCCAGAG